AAUAAGUUCAUUUGUAAAAUUUUGUAUCCAACGUUUAACCGUUUGUUUUUUUAAAAAAAUAUAAUUACUAUUUUUAUUGUUAUUAGAUGAUAAAAUAUAAAUAAAAUUUUAUGCGUGACUUAUUUUUCUAACCUUUCGUAAUUUUUUUAAAUAAAAUAAACAAUCAAACGUUAAAUAUAGAAGCCAACAAAUGAAUUUAUU
rnacentral:pre_miRNA from 1 species